GCCUCAGAAAGACCCUAGGACCUGUAGCC
rnacentral:piRNA from 1 species